AACGAACGCGGGCGGCAUGCCUAACACAUGCAAGUCGAACGAGACCUUCGGGGCUAGUGGCGCACGGGUGCGUAACGCGUGGGAACCUGCCCUUAGGUUCGGAAUAACUCCCCGAAAGGGGUGCUAAUACCGGAUAAUGUCUUCGGACCAAAGAUUUAUCGCCUUUGGAUGGGCCCGCGUUGGAUUAGCUAGUUGGUAGGGUAAAAGCCUACCAAGGCGACGAUCCAUAGCUGGUCUGAGAGGAUGAUCAGCCACACUGGGACUGAGACACGGCCCAGACUCCUACGCGAGGCAGCAGUGGAGAAUAUUGGAAAAUGGGCCGAAGCCUGAUCCAGCAGUGCCGCGUGAGUGAUGAUGGCCUUAGGGUUCUAAUUCUCUUUUACCCGGGAUGAUAAUGACAGUACCGGAAGAAUAAGCUCCGGCUAACUCCGUG
rnacentral:rRNA from 1 species